rnacentral:rRNA from 1 species
GACGAACGCUGGCGGCGUGCUUAACACAUGCAAGUCGAACGGAAAGGCCCUGCUUUUGUGGGGUGCUCGAGUGGCGAACGGGUGAGUAACACGUGAGUAACCUGCCCUUGACUUUGGGAUAACUUCAGGAAACUGGGGCUAAUACCGGAUAGGAGCUCCUGCUGCAUGGUGGGGGUUGGAAAGUUUCGGCGGUUGGGGAUGGACUCGCGGCUUAUCAGCUUGUUGGUGGGGUAGUGGCUUACCAAGGCUUUGACGGGUAGCCGGCCUGAGAGGGUGACCGGCCACAUUGGGACUGAGAUACGGCCCAGACUCCUACGGGAGGCAGCAGUGGGGAAUAUUGCACAAUGGGCGGAAGCCUGAUGCAGCAACGCCGCAUGCGGGAUGACGGCCUUCGGGUUGUAAACCGCUUUCGCCUGUGACGAAGCGUGAGUGACGGUAAUGGGUAAAGAAGCACCGGCUAACUACGUGCCAGCAGCCGCGGUGAUACGUAGGGUGCGAGCGUUGUCCGGAUUUAUUGGGCGUAAAGGGCUCGUAGGUGGUUGAUCGCGUCGGAAGUGUAAUCUUGGGGCUUAACCCUGAGCGUGCUUUCGAUACGGGUUGACUUGAGGGAGGUAGGGGAGAAUGGAAUUCCUGGUGGAGCGGUGGAAUGCGCAGAUAUCAGGAGGAACACCAGUGGCGAAGGCGGUUCUCUGGGCCUUUCCUGACGCUGAGGAGCGAAAGCGUGGGGAGCGAACAGGCUUAGAUACCCUGGUAGUCCACGCUGUAAACGGUGGGUACUAGGUGUGGGGUCCAUUCCACGGGUUCCGUGCCGUAGCUAACGCUUUAAGUACCCCGCCUGGGGAGUACGGCCGCAAGGCUAAAACUCAAAGGAAUUGACGGGGCCCCGCACAAGCGGCGGAGCAUGCGGAUUAAUUCGAUGCAACGCGUAGAACCUUACCUGGGUUUGACAUGGAUCGGGAGCGCUCAGAGAUGGGUGUGCCUCUUUUGGGGUCGGUUCACAGGUGGUGCAUGGCUGUCGUCAGCUCGUGUCGUGAGAUGUUGGGUUAAGUCCCGCAACGAGCGCAACCCUUGUUCACUGUUGCCAGCACGUUAUGGUGGGGACUCAGUGGAGACCGCCGGGGUCAACUCGGAGGAAGGUGGGGAUGACGUCAAGUCAUCAUGCCCCUUAUGUCCAGGGCUUCACGCAUGCUACAAUGGCUGGUACAGAGAGUGGCGAGCCUGUGAGGGUGAGCGAAUCUCGGAAAGCCGGUCUCAGUUCGGAUUGGGGUCUGCAACUCGACCUCAUGAAGUCGGAGUCGCUAGUAAUCGCAGAUCAGCAACGCUGCGGUGAAUACGUUCCCGGGGCU